ensembl:lncRNA
CUUCACCUGUCAGCUUCACCUUCAAUCUCUCCUUUCUAGGGAGAUUCUAUAUAUAAGACUCUGGUCUGGACUCAGGACGUCUUUUCUAUUUGUCUAGGACUUGUUGGUAUUUGCACUCUGAAUAUAUUCUAGCUGGUCUCGACUGCGUUAAGCGAUAUAUGUUUUUUGAGGUAACUUCCACCUUGAAAACAAUCAUAAAAUCAAAAUCAUAAAAUUACCUUUUUAUGAAUUAACUUUUAAAAGUGUGCUAAAAAAUAUAUAUACUUCCACACUUUUGUUGUCAAGUUCUACAGAGAAAUGUUCGUACAUGUUCAUAUCCUACUAACUAGAAUAUUGUGAGUUUCAAAGUUUAAUUUUUUUUUAAAUAUAGAUGAUGAUAUAUAAAAAAUAUAAUGUAAAAAAAUGCUAAAUGGUGAAAAGUCAUUCAUUUUCUGUCCAGCUAAUUCUUUUACAUUUUGUUUUAUUGUUUCUGAGUAAUCAUGCCAAUGAUGCAAAUUCCACAGGGACUGAGGAGAAAGAGAGAGCGGGGGAGAAAACAAGGAGGGAGCUGAGCAAAAGAGGGACGGGGAGGAAAAAGAAAGCUAGGAACAGCAUGUGUUGGAUCUCCCCAGCUGAUAUGUGGUUUCCCCCAAACCUAAGCAUCCUCCUUGAUCCAAAUGUCAGCUUUAAGUCCGUUCAUGCAAGGCGGUACAAAUGGCAGACGCUAUGGGACUACAAAUGACGCGCUUCCGAGGGGAAAAGUCAACCAAGAGUCGGCGGGGUCACCGAAUAAAACGGAGAAUGAGAUGACAGAGAGCAAUCACAACAAGAGAACAAGGAGAGAGAGAGAGAGUGAGAGAGAGAAAGAGAGAGAGAGAGAGAGAAGCGGGAGGCGUAAAGAGGGGGGUGGAACAGAGUGGUGAAGUGCACACACACAGAGAAAACACGAUGCUUCCCUGCGUCACGGUGUGAUGGACGGCACCCACUGACUAAUAAAUCAGAGGCGGCGAAAAAGGCAGGAUGCUGAGAAGGGUAUUCGGAGCGACGCUACCUCGCGCUCUGGGUUGCCGAGAGAGGAGAGACGUGUCGGGAAUGUGGGAGCAGAUGCUCACACACAGAGAAAGAGAGAGAGACGAGCCUGGCCUAAUUUAGCCCGCCUGAUGAAAAAUGGACAGGAAAGUGCUUACUUGGCUCGCCCUUCCCUCCACUCCACCGCUUCUCCUCCUCAUUUCCUCCUCCUGCUCGCCCCAACCUUUUGCCUACCCCCUUUAUACCCUCCAUGCCCUUUCCACUCCGUCUGUCUCUCCUUGAUUCCCACUCUUUGAUCUCUGUUGUCUCCCUGCAACCCACCUCCCUCGCACAAAAACAAACAUCCCUGCACUGUCUUGAGCCAGACAUCCUUUCCCCCCACAUAAACUGGUAUUCAUAAAAAGCAGCUGAGAGUGAGCAGAUACUGCAGAGAUGGAAAAAUAAGAGGCACAAAUGAAUGAUAAAACCUUUUUUAUGUUUAGAUUGUUAGCCAAUUUCCACUACUCAAGUACUGGUGAGUGGCCAUUUUUUCAUUUACAUUUCAGAGGUAACUAUUAUACUUCGGUUUAUCCUUUUAUAGGUUAUUUUUCAGAUUAAGAUUUAACAUAAGUGCAUGAGAUGAGCUUAUAAAAUACCAACUUUUAAAGAAUCCAAACUAUUUUGACUUUUUUGAGACAUUUCCCCUCUAAACCACUCAGAUUGUUUGAUACCCCAGUAGGUCAAAUGAUCCAAGAUUUUGCAGGAAAUCCCAAAAACAUUUUUUUUCUAGCAGAACCUUUUCCAACUUCACAACCCCUUUAAUCAUCUCUGAAAUCUGAAUCAAAUCUGAAUGAGCCUGGAUAAAUACUGCAUCAGAAAGGAUCCCUACCCUUUGCUGAUAUUACUUCUGUACAUUUACUAUAAUUGAAUGUACGUCUCCUACUUUAAAUGCAGUUUAUUUUAUUGUAUUGGUACUUUUUAAUUAUGUAAGGCUCUGAAACCUUCUUCCACUAUUGCCAAUUCCAGAGAUCCAUGUUUAAUAUUCAGUAUAUCAACACUGAAGGUAUCAACCUUUUCUCAUAUAUUUAUGUUGCUUCCUUUCUUAUACUCUAACCUUUAUUGUAUGUGCUUUGCAAAGUCAAGUAUAAACUUUCGGACAUGAUUUGAUGACUUUUCGUGAUAAUGAGUAUGAGAUCAUUUUCCAAUCAUGGUGACCGCUCCAUGUGAUGAAUUAGUCAUAAGACAGGUGGUCAGGUGUAAGGGGCUGGAUGCCCAGGCACGUUUUCCAACCUAUAUGCUGUCACACCAUUUCAUCUCCUGUUCCAGCCUUUCUCCGCCUCUUAGUAGACAUGCCUUCCUGUCAAGUUGUUAAUCUAAUUACUGCUAAUCCAUCUCUAUGAUCUCUCAUCUAACUGUUAGCUCAGCCGCCCCAGUGGCCGAUGCACCACCGUUCAUGCCAAUCACAACCAAAUUCCUUCCCUGCAGAGACAUCGCUAUAUAUCCUGGUAUAUGUACCCAGACACUCUCUAAAUACAGAUUGCACAUCAGUAUAUUUUAAUAAAAAUUACAACAAACCUGGGAAGCUUCCUCUUCCUUUCUUUAUUAAAAGCAAAAGUAAUGGCAGGACUCUUAUUUCUUGAACUAAUUUGAAUUUUAAAAUAAGUUUCAUAAAAAAAUAAUCAAAAGCAGACUUCCCUUGGAAUUCAAAGGCAGCCUGGGCCAUGUUUCAGAAAUCAAAUUUAAAAUAUUUAUUUUGAAUCAAUUUUGUGCCCUUUAAGGAUAGAAAUGCAAUAUUUUGAUUUUGAGGAAUAUGUAACUGAAAAAAAAAAAAUACUUUUUUAAAAAAUGGUUUUGAAGCCAAAUAAGAAAGCGCUACAAUUCCCUGAUUAUGUUUUACAAAGUUUCCAUCCAUACAGUUGAUGGUGAAUAAGAAUAGUUUGCGUUUUUCGUGGCCACCAUAGUUUCUCCUACACGCUUGGAAGGCUGAGC